AUUUUUUUUUUUUUUUUUAUUUAUUUAUCAGUUUAAUAUCUGAUACGUCCCCUAUCUGGGGACCAUAUAUUAAAUGGAUUUUUGGAACAGGGAGAUGGAAGAAGAGCUUGCUCUGUCCACUCCACGCAUCGACCUGGUAUUGCAGUACCUCCAGGACCGGUGCACCUCUC
rnacentral:snRNA from 1 species